CGCAUUGCCUAUAAGAGAAUAAAUUGCGAUGUUACUCUCAGAUGCGAUCAUACCAGCACUAA
rnacentral:rRNA from 1 species